GACGAACGCUGGCGGCGUGCUUAACACAUGCAAGUCGAGCGGUAAGGCCCUUUCGGGGGUACACGAGCGGCGAACGGGUGAGUAACACGUGGGUGACCUGCCCUCAGCUCUGGGAUAAGCCUGGGAAACUGGGUCUAAUACCGGAUAUGACCCCAUGACGCAUGUCGUGGGGUGGAAAGCCUUGUGCGGCUGAGGAUGGGCCCGCGGCCUAUCAGCUUGUUGGUGGGGUGANGGCCUACCAAGGCGACGACGGGUAGCCGGCCUGAGAGGGCGACCGGCCACACUGGGACUGAGACACGGCCCAGACUCCUACGGG
rnacentral:rRNA from 1 species